AUUGAACGCUGGCGGCAGGCCUAACACAUGCAAGUCGAGCGGAUGAGUGGAGCUUGCUCCAUGAUUCAGCGGCGGACGGGUGAGUAAUGCCUAGGAAUCUGCCUGGUAGUGGGGGACAACGUUUCGAAAGGAACGCUAAUACCGCAUACGUCCUACGGGAGAAAGUGGGGGAUCUGCGGACCUCACGCUAUCAGAUGAGCCUAGGUCGGAUUAGCUAGUUGGUGAGGUAAAGGCUCACCAAGGCGACGAUCCGUAACUGGUCUGAGAGGAUGAUCAGUCACACUGGAACUGAGACACGGUCCAGACUCCUACGGGAGGCAGCAGUGGGGAAUAUUGGACAAUGGGCGAAAGCCUGGUCCAGCCAUGCCGCGUGUGUGAAGAAGGUCUUCGGAUUGUAAAGCACUUUAAGUUGGGAGGAAGGGCAGUAAGUUAAUACCUUGCUGUUUUGACGUUACCAACAGAAUAAGCACCGGCUAACUUCGUGCCAGCAGCCGCAGUAACAC
rnacentral:rRNA from 1 species